UACGUAGGGGGCAAGCGUUGUCCGGAUUUAUUGGGCGUAAAGCGCGAGUAGGUGGCCAAGUAGGUCCGCUGUGAAAACUUGAGGCUCAACCUCAAGCUGUCGGUGGAAACCCCUUGGCUAGAGUCCGGAAGAGGAGAGUGGAAUUCCUGGUGUAGCGGUGAAAUGCGCAGAUAUCAGGAAGAACACCAAUGGCGAAGGCAGCUCUCUGGGACGGUACUGACACUGAGACGCGAAAGCGUGGGGAGCGAACAGG
rnacentral:rRNA from 1 species